rnacentral:rRNA from 1 species
GAUCAUGGCUCAGGACGAACGCUGGCGGCGUGCCUAACACAUGCAAGUCGAACGAAGCACUUCCGAUUUGAGAUUCGUCAAGAAUUGGAUUGACUUAGUGGCGGACGGGUGAGUAAUGCGUGAGCAACCUGCCCUUCAGAGGGGGACAACAGUUGGAAACGACUGCUAAUACCGCAUAACGUAUCCGGGAGGCAUCUUCUGGAUACCAAAGAUUUAUCGCUGAGGGAUGGGCUCACGUCUGAUUAGCUAGUUGGCAGGGUAACGGCCUACCAAGGCGACGAUCAGUAGCCGGACUGAGAGGUUGAACGGCCACAUUGGGACUGAGAUACGGCCCAGACUCCUACGGGAGGCAGCAGUGGGGAAUAUUGGGCAAUGGGCGAAAGCCCUGACCCAGCAACGCCGCGUGAAGGAAGAAGGCCUUCGGGUUGUAAACUUCUUUUAUGAGGGACGAAGGAUGUGACGGUACCUCAUGAAUAAGCCACGGCUAACUACGUGCCAGCAGCCGC